rnacentral:rRNA from 1 species
UACGUAGGGGGCAAGCGUUGUCCGGAUUUAUUGGGCGUAAAGAGCUCGUAGGUGGUUCGGUAAGUCGGAUGUGAAAUCUCCAGGCUCAACCUGGAGGGGUCAUUCGAUACUGCCGUGACUAGAGGUCGGUAGGGGAGUGUGGAAUUCCUGGUGGAGCGGUGAAAUGCGCAGAUAUCAGGAGGAACACCAAUUGCGAAGGCAGCUCGCUGGGACGUGACUGACGCUGAGACGCGAAAGCGUGGGGAGCAAACAGG